UCGCCGCACUUCUGGCCCAUUAAUCUUGCGCACAAGACUUGGCCCAUACCGAACCCUAGCUUCACUCCCAUUCACCCGCCGUCCUCCAGCACAUCUGGUUUGGCUCCCCUCUUCCCGUCCCGCUACCUCUCGCCGCCCCUCCACGUGCCGCCCCUCGCAGGUCCUCCACCCGCCGCCCCUCCACGCGCCGCCCCUCGCUGGAGCUCCACCCAUCACCCCUCCACGCGAGGGCCGGCCUUUGGCGGCGGGGCGGCGCACGCGGAUCCAGCACGCGAGAUGCGAGAUCCGGCGCGGCUCCUCCUCUCCCCUCGGCUGCGCUCCUACGAGUAUCAAGGCGAGGAUCCGCUCCAACCGUGGCUGGACUGCAUCAAGUGGGUUCAAGAGUCGUUCCCGACUGAUGGCGAGUGCUCAGAGCUGGUGGUGUUGUACGAGCAGUGCGUGCAGACCUUCUGGCACGACGAGCGCUACAAGGAUGACCUCCGCUUCCUCGAAGUGUGGCUGGAAUACGCUGGAAAUUGCACUGAUGCUGAGGUGAUAUACAAAUUCCUGGAGGCAAACCAGAUUGGGCAGGGCCAUGCCAUUUACUACAUGUCCUAUGUGUCAUUGUUGGAGGCAAAGAACAAGCUGAGGAAAGCUAAUGAGAUCUUUGACCUUGGUAUAGCUAGGUGGGAUUUCCAUGAGACUGUCACUUGUUGUUCAUAAGGCUCUUGGAUUUGAGAUUGCCCAGUAGAUUGUGUUGCUAUAAUCUAUAGAUAUUCAAUACAGAACUAGAUACUGAGAGGUACCAAAAAUCUAGUUAUGGGGGACUAGAUACUGCAGUACAGAACAAGGAGAAUGAGGAAAGAGUGAUUGGCAAUAAACAUGGAGAUGGCGAUGCAGGAUAUGUAUGAUUAAUAUACAUCAAAGUGCUACAACUGGGAAAUUGGACCUAAGAAAUGCUUAGCAGAAAAUACAAAAGACAUACCAAGGAUUCGUGGAGGCUGGGCCAUACAGGAUGUUUUUUAUGUGAGUACUGGGUGGUGCCUUUGUGAUUGUAUUGUGCAAGUUACUAGUACCUUUACUGCAGCAGGUGCUUGUGCCUAAUUUGUGCUAUGCUCUGUUCGAUUAGUGCUCUGUUCGAUUAGUGCUCUGUUCUAUGCUACCCCUACUGCAGCUGCUGGAAUAAUGGUAUGAUUCUGUGUUCUCUGAUCCUUGGAUAUACUGUGUGCUGCUGCUAGUAAUGCUAAGAAAUUACCAAGUGACUUAUUGCAUGCCAACUUUGAGUUUCAGGAACUUCAAAGAGGUGCUAGGCAGGAUCUUGUCAACAAGUGGAUCAAAUUGCUGAUCCAGUUAUUGAUUUGUUCUGAACUACCUGCAUGCCUUUAUCAUUUUGGAGGCAAACAAUCCAUAUAUGUCUACCUGCAGUAUAAUUAGGACAUGUAGAAUUUGAUGUUAUAUAUGAGCCUAGCUCCGAAUGUUAGCUACACUAUUGUUAUGACGUAUGAACCUACAUGAAUGAAUGAAAGUUUGUCUUUGUUAACGUGCUACUUUGUGAUGAAUGUCUGGAGCUAUCCUACCAAUAUACUGACUGGCUUACAAGAUUGAUUUUGAUCAAUGUCGUGUUUAAUAAAAUUUAUUCAGAUGCAUCUUUUCAUUCUAAUCUCUUUUCUAUGGCCAAACUAAUUCAAAAGCUUAUGGUGGGGUUAACUAGAUAUUAUGGUUCUUAGACCAAUCUGCAUGUUCCGUAAAAAAAUUAGGUUUCUACUCAGUAUAGAUAAUCAUAUAGGAUGAUAAGCAUGUUGCAAUGCAGAUGUAUUCAUAUUAUUCAAUUAUCUGGUGUCCACUUUGCUCAAGCUUUCUAUUGAAUUUUCUAACUAUCUGUUGUGGAAAUAUUGUAAAUAUUAAGGCAUAACAAAAUUGUCCAACAUUAUCAGGAAACUGUGUCCUACUGAAUAUUGUCCUUACACUGUACUUUGCAAUAGUUAUAAGUAUGUAUGACUACCAAUUUGUGCUUUGCAGUAAUUUUAGCUAUAUUUUCCCUCUGCAAUUAUCUCUUAUACGAACAAGCUUUUCAACUAGGACCAUAGGAAUCAGAGAUAAAGAUUCCAAGCUGGUUAUAUAACCCUUAAAUAUUUUAGUUAUCCAUGUCAAGUCUCUAAAUCUUUUUUCGCUUCUUUGCAUAUUGAUGUCAUGUGUUGUUGAUGCUAUGUUGAUGUCUUUAAUUGCAGUUCUAGGUGCUGAUUUAUUAGCUGCAUACUCAUCAGGUGCAGGGAGCUUCUCUUGCUUCCAUCCUAAAGAUGUUUGACAAAAUGCCACAGUUAACUAGCUCUGCCUCUACAACAAGGAUGCAGAAGGAUGAUCAUCCAUUUCCUGGUUUUUUUUACCUUGGUGCCUCCCUCCAACCGUGCCACCCUCUCCGUCUGCGUCUCCUUGACAGUGGCAGGCCAUGGGACAAGGAGGAAGUGGUGGCCACUGCAGCUCAACGAUGUGGAAAACAGGAGUACUUAUCUUUAAUUCCCUUGCAUUUUUGCUAACAGGAAAGCGUGGACAGCCAAAAUAUUUAGAGAAAGCUUUAAGCCUAUAUGCUGGUGAUGGACUGCUAGAAGAAUGAAAAAUUACAGAAAGGUUUAUUGGUGAUUGCUGGUGCCAAUAGGGAAUGAAUAGAUCAAUAAGAGAACUCAUAUUUAACAUAGUUGCACUUGUAGUUAGAGAUGAUAUUUUUAUUGUCAUUGUGUUAUUAAUUUGGUUGAGACAUAUAUUUGAAGUUAAUGAAGGUUUGAGUUCCUAUAUGUGAUGAUGAAAUA